UUAACCUGGCUGUUUUAACUAAUUCAGAAGGCUGCAGGUUUGCAACUCCAAAUGUUAAAUUGGCUUGUCAACAGAUUCUUCUACUCUCCAUAAACAUCCAUGAAUAAUAAUAAUAAUAAUAAAUACAUCCAUACACAGUUCUCUUUUGCAAAAUGCCUUAAAAAAAUUAAAAAAUUAACUCUAUUAUUAGACUUUUCUAUAUGAACUAGGUUUAGGGCAUCUUGGUACCCAUUGAAAAAAGUUAGGCCAUAUUCAGUCACCUUAACAAGGUGGGGUGGGGGGUGGGUGGGGUGGUGGGGGGUGUGGUACCUAUCGAAAGUGUACCUUUAGAAAAAUUCCAUUUGAAGAUGGAAGGUGAAUGCAUAGUGCAUAUAUAUAUAGUAUAGGGGUUCCUUUGAGAUAUGGCUUGAAAUUAACCACUUGUGACUAAUCUUUUCACAAGUGAUAUCUGAGAUGAAUCUCCUCCAAUUUCUUCAAAUACUACCAACAAAUUCUUGGUUGGCUUCAGCCAUGAUCUGGGAACAUGGUACCAUCUUUGAGUAGGUUGGCCACAACCAAAUUGGCAUUUUGUCUCCCUAAAUGUAGCAUUGUACCUACAAGCAUUGCAAUCGCCAGUAGCUUUUACAGUCCAAUAUCUUCCAAUGCUAUUCCCAUUAAUCCACACUUGUCCCUUCCCCAUGCUCCCCAUGUCCAAUGCCAAGGGAUCUUCUCCUUUUGGUUCAUCAAAGUAGGCCCUAUGCCACGUCAAUGGUGGGCUUUGUGCUGACGUGGUCCUUUUCAUCCAUUCAACUGAUGGAACAGAAUCUGGAGAUCCAAGAUUCAUGUCUUCUCCUUUAAGCCCAACCUGCGUAAUAAAAGCCCAUCAAUAAAGGAGAUCCCAAGGUCCAUGAUCUCCGCUUGUAUCAUGGUUGUGUAGGCUAGAAUUUCACAACAUCACCCGCGCCCCCCACUCCACCAAAAAUAAUAAUAAUAAUAAAUGAGUAGAACUGAAGGACCUUAUAGGACCAUUUGUUCCAGGUCAGGUCCUUCUCCCCUUUGUCUAGGCCAUGGAGAGUGACCCUUUCGAUUCCUGCCUUCCAGUUCUCAAAAUGGGUUCCAAUAUUCUACAGCCAGAAACAGCAUAAAAACAUCAGUUCUUUAAUUUCUUUCAAGAAUCAGACAGAGAAUCAAUGACAUCCAGAGAAUUCAUUAACUGGUAAUCCAACAGCUAUGCUCUGCAGUGAGAUUCUGUUUCUUCCAGCAUGUAGCUUCACUGGAGAUUUCCAAAGAAAGAAAAUAUUUUGUUACCAGAAAGCUCUCCAUUGACAAAGACGUGCAAAGCAUGGCCUGCUGAAUCCACUGUAAGAUUGAGAAGAUUGCCUUGAUGUAGAAAUGAUUCAUAUGACCUAAUAGUCAGACUGGAAAAGCACACAACAUAAUUAGAUUCAUAUUUCAUUAUUGAUUUUCAUCAUUGAAAGCUUGCAAAUUAAGUAGGAACUUACCCAGUUGUGUACCAGAGAUAAUCAGUUGUAUCUCUGGUGACAUUUAUCUGCUCCAAGAGGCCAGGGACUGUAGUUAUUUUAUCUUCAUCAACUGAUAAUACAUCUUCACUGAAAGUCUCCCAUGAGAGACCUGUGGCUGUGGGCAACAUUUGCACCUGGGACGUUUGGACUCCA
rnacentral:misc_RNA from 1 species